ACACACAGCACCCAGACACACACAGCACCCCACACACACACACAGCCCCCCACACACACACACAGCACCCCACAGACACACACACACACACCCCACAGACACACACAGCACCCCACAGACACACACAGCACCCUCAGACACACACAACACCCUCAGACAGACAGCACCCUCACUCCCACACAUAUACAGCACAUAUAUUAUAUAAAAAAAACCCUCAGUGAGUUAAC